rnacentral:tRNA from 1 species
GUCCUCGUAGUCCAAUGGAUAGAAUAUCUCCCUCCGAAGGAGAAGAUGCGCGUUCGAUUCGCGCCGAGGGCA